UACAGAGGUCCCAAGCGUUGUUCGGAUUCACUGGGCGUAAAGGGUGCGUAGGUGGUGAGGUAAGUCUGAUGUGAAAUCUCUGGGCUCAACCCAGAAACUGCAUUGGAUACUAUCUCGCUAGAGGAGUGGAGGGGGGACUGGAAUACUUGGUGUAGCAGUGAAAUGCGUAGAUAUCAAGUGGAACACCAGUGGCGAAGGCGGUUGCCUGGGGCUUUGCUGACGCUGAUGCGCGAAAGCGUGGGGAGCGAUCCGG
rnacentral:rRNA from 1 species